rnacentral:misc_RNA from 1 species
GAUAGUUUUCCGUACUUUCUCCUAAAUUUAUAUGAUGCUUGAAUGAAACUGAAUCCAAGUAGGGAGAUAGGAUAUGGCGUUUGAACAUGUAAAACAGCCCCUUGAUAAGAAAAUGAAAUCCAAAGAAACCGUACACAUGCUAAUUACAUUAUAUGUAAUAGAAGACACAAAUAGCUUGCAAAGCUUCUGCAGCUACUAAUAAUAGGAUUCAGACAGGGGAAGUGUUACCCAUUUAUAUUAUAACAGACUCAAUUGAAUAUAUAUAUAUAUAUA